AUUGAACGCUGGCGGCAUGCUUUACACAUGCAAGUCGAACGGUAACAGGGAGCUUGCUCCGCUGACGAGUGGCGAACGGGUGAGUAAUAUAUCGGAACGUACCCAAGAGUGGGGGAUAACGUAGCGAAAGUUACGCUAAUACCGCAUACGAUCUAAGGAUGAAAGCAGGGGAUCUUCGGACCUUGUGCUCCUGGAGCGGCCGAUAUCUGAUUAGCUAGUUGGUGAGGUAAAGGCUCACCAAGGCGACGAUCAGUAGCUGGUAUGAGAGGACGACCAGCCACACUGGAACUGAGACACGGUCCAGACUCCUACGGGAGGCAGCAGUGGGGAAUUUUGGACAAUGGGCGCAAGCCUGAUCCAGCAAUGCCGCGUGAGUGAAGAAGGCCUUCGGGUUGUAAAGCUCUUUUGUCAGGGAAGAAACGGGAGUGGCUAAUAUCCAUUCCUAAUGACGGUACCUGAAGAAUAAGCACCGGCUAACUACGUGCCAGCCGCCGCAGUAA
rnacentral:rRNA from 1 species